UACGAAGGGGGCUAGCGUUGCUCGGAAUCACUGGGCGUAAAGGGUGCGUAGGCGGGUCUUUAAGUCAGGGGUGAAAUCCUGGAGCUCAACUCCAGAACUGCCUUUGAUACUGAAGAUCUUGAGUUCGGGAGAGGUGAGUGGAACUGCGAGUGUAGAGGUGAAAUUCGUAGAUAUUCGCAAGAACCCCAGGGGCGAAGGCGGCUCACUGGCCCGAUACUGACGCUGAGGCACGAAAGCGUGGGGAGAAAACAGG
rnacentral:rRNA from 1 species